rnacentral:rRNA from 1 species
GAUGAACGCUAGCGAUAGGCCUAACACAUGCAAGUCGAGGGGCAUCACAUGAAGUAGCAAUACGGAUGGUGGCGACCGGCGCACGGGUGAGUAACACGUAUGCAACCUGCCUUCAACAAGGGGAUAACCCGUUGAAAGACGGACUAAUACCCUAUAACACAGGGGUCCCGCAUGGGAAUAUUUGUUAAAGGACAACCGGUUGAAGAUGGGCAUGCGUUCCAUUAGCUAGUUGGCGGGGUAACGGCCCACCAAGGCAACGAUGGAUAGGGGAACUGAGAGGUUUAUCCCCCACACCUGGUACUGAGACACGGACCAGACUCCUACGGGAGGCAGCAGUGGGGAAUAUUGCACAAUGGGGGAAACCCUGAUGCAGCAACGCCGCGUGAAGGAUGAAGGUUUUCGGAUUGUAAACUUCUUUAGUCGGGACGAAUAAAUGACGGUACCCG